GAUGAACGCUGGCGGCGUGCCUAAUACAUGCAAGUCGAGCGAACGGACGAGAAGCUUGCUUCUCUGAUGUUAGCGGCGGACGGGUGAGUAACACGUGGAUAACCUACCUAUAAGACUGGGAUAACUUCGGGAAACCGUAGCUAAUACCGGAUAAUAUUUUGAACCGCAUGGUUCAAAAGUGAAAGACGGUCUUGCUGUCACUUAUAGAUGGAUCCGCGCUGCAUUAGCUAGUUGGUAAGGUAACGGCUUACCAAGGCAACGAUGCAUAGCCGGCCUGAGAGGGUGAUCGGCCACACUGGAACUGAGACACGGUCCAGACUCCUGCGGGAGGCAGCAGUAAGGAAUCUUCCGCAAUGGGCGAAGGCCUGACGGAGCAACGCCGCGUGAGUGAUGAAGGUCUUCGGAUCGUAAAACUCUGUUAUUAGGGAAGAACAUAUGUGUAAGUAACUGUGCACAUCUUGACGGUACCUAAUCAGAAAGCCACGGCUAACUACGUG
rnacentral:rRNA from 1 species